rnacentral:rRNA from 1 species
CUACGGGGUGCAGCAGUGAGGAAUAUUGGUCAAUGGGCGAAAGCCUGAACCAGCCAUGCCGCGUGAAGGAUGACGGCCCUAUGGGUUGUAAACUUCUUUUAUACGGGAAGAAACACCUCUACGUGUAGAGGCUUGACGGUACCGUACGAAUAAGCAUCGGCUAACUCCGUGCCAGCAGCCGCGGUAAUACGGAGGAUGCAAGCGUUAUCCGGAUUUAUUGGGUUUAAAGGGUACGUAGGCGGAAACUUAAGUCAGUAGUGAAAUCCCGCAGCUUAACUGUGGAACUGUUAUUGAUACUGGGUUUCUUGAAUAUUGUUGAGGUAGGCGGAAUAAGUAAUGUAGCGGUGAAAUGCUUAGAUAUUACUUAGAACACCGAUUGCGAAGGCAGCUUACUAAGCAAUUAUUGACGCUGAGGUACGAAAGCGUGGGGAGCGAACAGGAUUAGAUACCCCAGUAGUC